rnacentral:rRNA from 1 species
GACGAACGCUGGCGGCGUGCUUAACACAUGCAAGUCGAACGGAAAGGCCCUGCUUUUGUGGGGUGCUCGAGUGGCGAACGGGUGAGUAACACGUGAGUAACCUGCCCUUGACUUUGGGAUAACUUCAGGAAACUGGGGCUAAUACCGGAUAGGAGCUCCUGCUGCAUGGUGGGGGUUGGAAAGUUUCGGCGGUUGGGGAUGGACUCGCGGCUUAUCAGCUUGUUGGUGGGGUAGUGGCUUACCAAGGCUUUGACGGGUAGCCGGCCUGAGAGGGUGACCGGGCACAUUGGGACUGAGAUACGGACCAGAAUCCUACGGGAGGCAGCAGUGGGGAAUAUUGCACAAUGGGCGGAAGCCUGAUGCAGCAACGCCGCGUGCGGGAUGCCGGCUUUCGGGUUGUAAACCGCUUUCGCCUGUGACGAAGCGUGAGUGACGGUAAUGGGUAAAGAAGCACCGGCUAACUACGUG